GAAAUGCGAUAAGUAGUGUGAAUUGCAGAAUUCAGUGAAUCAUCGAAUCUUUGAACGCACAUUGCGCCUCCUGGUAUUCCGGGAGGCAUGCCUGUUCGAGCGUCAUUAAAAGACCACUCAAGCCCCUUUUGCGGGGCCUGGUAUUGGGAGAGGAGUGGCACUCGCUUGCCCCUCCCUUCCGAAAUCCAAUGGCGGAGAGCCCCACGUGCCCCGGCGUAGUAAGUUUUCUUUCGCUCGGAACGUGAGGUGAUCCCGCCGCCAACCCCCCACAACUAUUUCCAGGUUGACCUCGGAUCAGGUAGGGAUACCCGCUGAACUUAA
rnacentral:misc_RNA from 1 species